rnacentral:piRNA from 1 species
UAGGCAGUGUGAAGAAGGAACCGUUCCGGC